rnacentral:lncRNA from 1 species
AAAUGAUCUUGUAUUGAUUUAGGUUCUUUGCAUGAUUUAGGAAGCAAUCUAUCCUUAAUGCAAAGCCAUUCACUUGAUCCAUGAUCAAGAUGAAUUAGAUUUGGAUUAAGGAAGAUUAAACCUUCAUGUAUCAAUGCUAACCACCAAUCUUUAACUCAUUGAUAAAAAAAAUAAAAAGAAGAAGAAAAAAAAGAAGAUGAAGAAUUAAAGUGCAUUAAUGGAAAUGGUAUGUAUUAAUCAACAAGUGUUGACCAAAGAUAGAGAAGAUCAAGGUCAAACAAUAGAAAACAGAAGAAAAAUGAGAAUUAGAAGUCAAGAAACAAAUAAAAUAUUUUUGGCAUUUUUAAUAUUAAAAUAAAACUUGAAUUAAAAUAAUAAAAGAAAGUUCAAACUUCAAACUCACUUCAAAUCAACUUUGAAAAGUCCAAGUGAAUUAUCCCAAGUUCAACAAGGUCAAACAAAG